rnacentral:rRNA from 1 species
UACAGAGGUCCCAAGCGUUGUUCGGAUUCACUGGGCGUAAAGGGUGCGUAGGUGGCCAGGUAAGUUCGGUGUGAAAGCUCGGAGCUCAACUCCGAAAUGUCAUUGAAUACUAUCUGGCUUUAUUGAGGGUCGGAGGGGAGACUGGAAUUCUCGGUGUAGCAGUGAAAUGCGUAGAUAUCGAGAGGAACACCAGUGGCGAAGGCGAGUCUCUGGACGACACCUGACACUGAGGCACGGAAAGCUAAGGGGAGCAAACAGG